UGGCGGAGGCCUACACAUGCAGUCGAACGGAUCCUUCGGGAUUAGUGGCAGACGGGUGAGUAACGCGUGGGAAGCUACCUUGUGGUAGGGAACAACAGUUGGAAACGACUGCUAAUACCCUAUGAGCCCUAUGGGGGAAAGAUUUAUCGCCAUGAGAUGUGCCCGCGUUAGAUUAGCUAGUUGGUAAGGUAAUGGCUUACCAAGGCGACGAUCUAUAGCUGGUCUGAGAGGAUGAUCAGCCACACUGGGACUGAGACACGGCCCAGACUCCUACGGGAGGCAGCAGUGGGGAAUAUUGGACAAUGGGGGCAACCCUGAUCCAGCCAUGCCGCGUGAGUGAUGACGGCCUUAGGGUUGUAAAGCUCUUUCAGCAGUGAAGAUAAUGACAUUAACUGCAGAAGAAGCCCCGGCUAACUUCGUGCCAGCAGCCGCGGUAAUACGAAGGGGGCUAGCGUUGUUCGGAAUCACUGGGCGUAAAGCGUACGUAGGCGGACUGAUCAGUCAGGGGUGAAAUCCCGGGGCUCAACCCCGGAACUGCCUUUGAUACUGUCAGUCUUGAGAUCGAGAGAGGUGAGUGGAACUCCGAGUGUA
rnacentral:rRNA from 1 species